AACUUUUGGCAACGGAUCUCUUGGCUCUCGCAUCGAUGAAGAACGCAGCGAAAUGCGAUAAGUAAUGUGAAUUGCAUAAUUCAGUGAAUCAUCGAAUCUUUGAACGCACCUUGCGCUCCUUGGUAUUCCGAGGAGCAUGCCUGUUUGAGUGUCAUUAAUAUAUAUCAAACUUCUCUUGUUUGAGUUGUUUGGAUGUGAGGGUUUGCUGGCCUCUUAAAAGGGGUUCAGCUCUCCUGAAAUGCAUUAGCAGAACAACCGAGUUCAUUUGUGUGAUAACUAUCUACGCUAGUGAAUGUGAAAGGCAGUUCAGCUUUCUAACGGCCUUUGGACAAUUUUGUCAUGAAUGUGACCUCAAAGCAUGUAGGACUACCCGCUGAACUUAAGCAUCUCAAUAAGCGGAGGCU
rnacentral:misc_RNA from 1 species